AUUGAACGCUGGCGGCAUGCCUUACACAUGCAAGUCGAACGGUAACAGGUCUUCGGAUGCUGACGAGUGGCGAACGGGUGAGUAAUACAUCGGAACGUGCCCGAUCGUGGGGGAUAACGAGGCGAAAGCUUUGCUAAUACCGCAUACGAUCUACGGAUGAAAGCGGGGGAUCUUCGGACCUCGCGCGGACGGAGCGGCCGAUGGCAGACUAGGUAGUUGGUGGGAUAAAAGCUUACCAAGCCGACGAUCUGUAGCUGGUCUGAGAGGAUGAUCAGCCACACUGGGACUGAGACACGGCCCAGACUCCUACGGGAGGCAGCAGUGGGGAAUUUUGGACAAUGGGCGAAAGCCUGAUCCAGCCAUGCCGCGUGCAGGAUGAAGGCCUUCGGGUUGUAAACUGCUUUUGUACGGAACGAAAAGCCUCUUUCUAAUAAAGAGAGGUCAUGACGGUACCGUAAGAAUAAGCACCGGCUAACUACGUG
rnacentral:rRNA from 1 species